rnacentral:rRNA from 1 species
AUUGAACGCUGGCGGCAGGCCUAACACAUGCAAGUCGAGCGUGAAAGCCCUUCGGGGUGAGUAGAGCGGCGGACGGGUGAGUAACGCGUAGGAAUCUACCUAGUAGUGGGGGACAACAUGUGGAAACGCAUGCUAAUACCGCAUACGCCCUAAGGGGAAAGGGGGCUCUUUGAGCUCUUGCUAUUAGAUGAGCCUGCGUAAGAUUAGCUAGUUGGUGAGGUAAUGGCUCACCAAGGCGACGAUCUUUAGCUGGUCUGAGAGGAUGAUCAGUCACACUGGAACUGAGACACGGUCCAG